rnacentral:RNase_P_RNA from 1 species
CAAGUACGCCGGACGGUCGCGGGUACACGACGAAAGGACGUACCUGAGGAAAGUCCGGGCUCCGCAGGGCAGGAUGCCGGUUAACGGCCGGUGAAGGUGACUUCAAGGAAAGUGCAACAGAAAACAACCGCCCGCGCACGCGGGUAAGGGUGAAAAGGCGAGGUAAGAGCUCACCGCCGCGGUGGUAACACAGCGGGCAGUGUAAACCCCAUCCGGAGCAACACCGCAGAAGGGACGCUAAGUUGGCCCGACAGUCCCAAGGGUGGCUAAAGGCACGCGGCAACGCGCGACCGCAGAUAGAUGACCGUCCGCGACAGAACCCGGCUUACGGCGUGCUUGCUUU